rnacentral:lncRNA from 1 species
UUCCCUUUUUACCGGCAUACCAACUGACUCAACCUCUUUCUUGAAAGGACCACUGUCAGAAGGUUUCUUUGCUACAAAGCCAGAGAGGUCGUUCACUUUGGAGGACGGAGCCUGUUCCUGAACUUUCUCCACCAUCAGCCGCUUCUCGAUUUUUUCCAAUCUCUCGGCCAUGGCUUUCUGCCCCAAGGCAAGCCCUUGCACCAUACUGAACAAGUCUCUCACCAUCUCUUUUAGCUCGAGGAUGUCGGCGUUGGGAAGAUCCAUCAGCUUGGAUUUGUUGACCCCAGCAGGCUAUCUGAGCAAACGAGUUAUGCGUACCGGUUGAAUACUGAACCCUACAAAAC